rnacentral:rRNA from 1 species
GAUGAACGCUAGCGGCAGGCCUAAUACAUGCAAGUCGGACGGGAUCGGGGAGCUUGCUCCCCGUGAGAGUAGCGCACGGGUGCGUAACACGUAUGUAACCUACCUUUAUCAGGGGGAUAGCCUCUCGAAAGAGAGAUUAACACCGCAUAACAUCACAUGAUAGCAUUAUCGAGUGAUCAAAUAUUCAUAGGAUAAAGAUGGGCAUGCGGGACAUUAGCUAGUUGGCGGGGUAACGGCCCACCAAGGCGACGAUGUCUAGGGGAUCUGAGAGGAUGACCCCCCACACUGGUACUGAGACACGGACCAGACUCCUACGGGAGGCAGCAGUAAGGAAUAUUGGUCAAUGGACGCAAGUCUGAACCAGCCAUGCCGCGUGCAGGAGGACGGCCCUACGGGUUGUAAACUGCUUUUGUACCGGAAUAAACCCUUUUACGUGUAAGAGGCUGAAUGUACGGUAAGAAUAAGGAUCGGCUAACUCCGUGCCAGCCGCCGCGGUAA